CUCGUCACACUAUCAUUAACUGAAUCCAUAGGUUAAUGAGGCGAACCGGGGGAACUGAAACAUCUAAGUACCCCGAGGAAAAGAAAUCAACCGAGAUUCCCCCAGUAGCGGCGAGCGAACGGGGAGGAGCCCAGAGCCUGAAUCAGCAUGUGUGUUAGUGGAAGCGUCUGGAAAGGCGCGCGAUACAGGGUGACAGCCCCGUACACAAAAGCGCAUGUGCUGUGAGCUCGAUGAGUAGGGCGGGACACGUGGUAUCCUGUCUGAAUAUGGGGGGACCAUCCUCCAAGGCUAAAUACUCCUGACUGACCGAUAGUGAACCAGUACCGUGAGGGAAAGGCGAAAAGAACCCCGGCGAGGGGAGUGAAAAAGAACCUGAAACCGUGUACGUACAAGCAGUGGGAGCCCCACCACCAAAGCAUUUGCUGUACCGCGUUGACGGAGCGAAGCGACGUCAAACCGAUAAAACAGCAGUGUAAAGUGAGCCGCAGGGCGCUUU
rnacentral:rRNA from 1 species